AUGCUGUCCGCGUUCUCGUCGUGGUUCGUGAACCCGCGCCGCAACCCGCUGGCCCGCAUCCACAUGCUCACCAUCUCCAACCGCCUCAAGAACUACGGCCUGAGGUACGACGACCUGUAUGACCCCUACUUCGAUCUGGACAUCAAGGAGGCGCUCUGCAGGCUGCCCCGGGAGGUGGUCGACGCCCGCCACCAGCGUCUCAAGCGCGCCAUGGACCUCUCCAUGAAGCACCAGUACCUCCCCGACGACGUCCGGGCACUACAGACACCAUUCAAAAGCUAUUUGAGCGACAUGCUGGCUCUGGUGAAAAAGGAGGCAGCAGAGCGUAAAGCACUGGGAGCCCUUCCUCUCUAUGAGAGAACCCUUCCUUGA
rnacentral:rRNA from 1 species